GUUGAACGCUGGCGGCAUGCUUUACACAUGCAAGUCGAACGGCAGCACGAAAGAGCUUGCUCUUUUGGUGGCGAGUGGCGAACGGGUGAGUAAUGCAUCGGAACGUACCGAGUAAUGGGGGAUAACUGUCCGAAAGGAUAGCUAAUACCGCAUACGCUUUGAGAAGGAAAGUGGGGGCUCUUCGGACCUCACGUUAUUCGAGCGGCCGAUGUCUGAUUAGCUAGUUGGUGGGGUAAAGGCCUACCAAGGCGACGAUCAGUAGCGGGUCUGAGAGGAUGAUCCGCCACACUGGGACUGAGACACGGCCCAGACUCCUACGGGAGGCAGCAGUGGGGAAUUUUGGACAAUGGGCGCAAGCCUGAUCCAGCCAUGCCGCGUGUCUGAAGAAGGCCUUCGGGUUGUAAAGGACUUUUGUUAGGGAAGAAAAGGAUAGUGUUAAUACCAUUAUCUGCUGACGGUACCUAAAGAAUAAGCACCGGCUAACUACGUG
rnacentral:rRNA from 1 species